UACGUAGGUGGCAAGCGUUACUCGGAAUCACUAGGCGUAAAGCGCAGGUAGGAGGUUUGGUAAGUCUAUUGUGAAAGCUCCCGGCUUAACUGGGAGGGGUCAAUGGAAACUACCAGGCUAGAGUGCGGUAGAGGAAGGUGGAAUUCCCGGUGUAGCGGUGAAAUGCGUAGAUAUCGGGAGGAAUACCUAUGGCGAAAGCAGCCUUCUGGACCGUCACUGACUCUGAUCUGCGAAAGCUAGGGGAGCAAACAGG
rnacentral:rRNA from 1 species